UAGCAAGUACGCUCUAUCGCUGCCCGCAAGGGGAGAGGAAAGUCCGAGCAACACAGAGCGCCGUACGAGUUAACGGCUCGACACUUGUGAGGGUGUAGUAGUGUAACAGAAAAUAACCGCCCGCUGCGAGGUGGGUAAGGGUGAAAAGGUGGGGUAAGAGCCCACCGCAGCGGCAGUAAUGUCGUCUGGCAGUACGCCUUACGGGUUGCAAGACCAUGUAUACCGACAAUUAAGGGUUGCUCGUCCAAUGUCGGGGGGUAGGUUGCUAGAGGCUGUGGGUGACCGCAGUCGUAGAUAAAUGAUAGAGGCUCCCUUCUGGGGAGUACAGAACUCGGCUUAUAGUAUUUGCUAUGAU
rnacentral:RNase_P_RNA from 1 species